UUUUUUGCUUUUUGAAAUAGCUACUCUCGAACUCAGGCACUAUGGUUCGCGCCUCGUUCGCGCGCGCAUUGUGAGCAUUCAAGUUUCGUUUUUUGCACUUGCUUAGUAGCUGAAAUUGCGGACAUUGCAGGGUUGGGCUUGAUGACAUUUGUUGCUCAGCUGCCGCGACACAUUUGGAGCAAAGCUUCUGCUUAUUUCCUUUGGCCGCACCUUAUAUUUGUUGUCUUUGUCAACAUCUGACCUGUUUCUGCCUUGUUGAAAGCAAGUGGCCACAAGUACUGCUUAGUUUGCUCAGUCUAAACCUGGUAGUGCAUCCAGUUUAGCGCCGUGCACAUGUGUGGGGCAUUUCCUUGUUCUUAUUGUGCUGAUGUGCCGUGUUGUACAUAGGAGGAAAGCCGGUCGUCCACAAUAUGGUUGUCAGUGUUGCUGAAUACAACACAGUCUUGCUGCCUUGACACGCCACAUCAUUUGGCAUCUUGGGGUGAGGUGGCAUCUUGCUGCUCCUUGUGGUCAGGCAUAGCCAAGACUGCAGGUAGAGUCCGCACACAAAGUUCGAGGUUGAACUAUAGAACCAGCACGCCCAAUAAAUGUGUGUGCAAAUUUAGCUCUAAGCGUGAUUUAUGUCAGGAAUAAAGAUUCACAAAAGGGGCUUGGUCCAUGGCCAAGCAGAGUGAGCACGAACAACAACAACCGUCUUCUUUCACAUCCUUUGUUGGUGCCUGCCUU
rnacentral:lncRNA from 1 species